CCUACGGGGGGCAGCAGUGGGGAAUAUUGCACAAUGGGGGAAACCCUGAUGCAGCGACGCCGCGUGAGUGAAGAAGUAUUUCGGUAUUUAAAGCUCUAUCAUCAGGAACGAGACAAGACGGUACCUGACUAAGAAGCCCCAGCUAACUACGUGCCAGCAGCCGCGGUAAUACGUAGGGGGCAAGCGUUAUCCGGAAUCACUGGGUGUAAGGGGAGCGUAGACGGGUGUGCAAGCCUGCAGUGAAAGGCGGGGGCCCAAGCCCUGGAGUGAUUUCGGAACUGUACGGCUGGAGUGCAGGAGCGGUAAGUGGAAUUCCUGGUGUAGCGGUGAAAUGCGUAGAUAUUAGGAGGAACACCAGUGGCGAAGGCAGCUUACGGGACUGUAACUGACGUUGAGGCUCGAAAGCGUGGGGAGCAAACAGGAUUAGAUACCCCAGUAGUC
rnacentral:rRNA from 1 species